GCGCACGUGGUGUAAUGGCAGCAUUGGAGCCUCCCACGCUCUAGAUCCGGGUUCGAAUCCCGGCGUGCGCA
rnacentral:tRNA from 1 species